rnacentral:misc_RNA from 1 species
ACAACCUCAACCUUGAUUGGUUUUACCAUCAAGGCUUGGACUUGGGUGUUGCUGCUGCAAAGUGGCUCACCUUAAAAUCAUUAGCUGGACUUGUCUAUGACUUGGUUCGACUCGAUGUAAUAAGUAUUCAUCGGGGACAGGGUAAAACCUGGCCAAGGCUUGAUGCCGUCUGCUUCUAAUCAUGUUCUCACUAUGAGACGCUACUUUACU